GGUGGCUCAGUGGCAGAGCUCUUGCCUGGCAUGCAUGAGGCCCUGGGUUCGAUUCCUUAGUACCA
rnacentral:tRNA from 1 species